rnacentral:rRNA from 1 species
UACGUAGGGUGCAAGCGUUAAUCGGAAUUACUGGGCGUAAAGCGUGCGCAGGCGGUUUUGUAAGUCUGACGUGAAAUCCCCGGGCUCAACCUGGGAAUUGCGUUGGAGACUGCAAGGCUAGAAUCUGGCAGAGGGGGGGGUAGAAUUCCACGUGUAGCAGUGAAAAUGCGUAGAUAUGUGGAGGAACACCGAUGGCGAAGGCAGCCCCCUGGGUCAAGAUUGACGC